rnacentral:rRNA from 1 species
CCUACGGGUGGCAGCAGUGAGGAAUAUUGGUCAAUGGGCGCAAGCCUGAACCAGCCACGCCGCGUGCAGGAAGACGGCCCUAUGAGUUGUAAACUGCUUUUGUACGGGAGUAAACGAAGACACGUGUACCUGUUUGUAUGUCUUUUAUGGAUAAGGAUCGGCUAACUCCGUGCCAGCAGCCGCGGUAAUACGGAGGAUCCGAGCGUUAUCCGGAUUUAUUGGGUUUAAAGGGUGCGUAGUCGGUCAGGUAAGUGAGAGGUGAAGUCCCGAGGCUCAACUGCGGAAUUGCCUUUGAUACUGGUCGGCUAGAGAGUAGUUGAGGUAGGCGGAAUUUGUGGUGUAGCGGUGAAAUGCUUAGAGAUCAGGAAGAACACCGAUUGCGAAGGCAGCUUACUAAACUGCUACUGACGUUGAGGCACGAAAGCGUGGGGAGCAAACAGGAUUAGAUACCCUGGUAGUC